rnacentral:rRNA from 1 species
GACGAACGCUGGCGGCGUGCCUAAUACAUGCAAGCCGAGCGGACAGAAGGGAGCUUGCUCCCGGAAGUUAGCGGCGGACGGGUGAGUAACACGUGGGCAACCUACCCUGUAGAUCGGGAUAACAUCGAGAAAUCGGUGCUAAUACCGGAUAAUCAUUUGAAGUGCAUGCUUCGAAUGUAGAAGAUGGCUCCGGCUAUCACUACGGGAUGGGCCCGCGGCGCAUUAGCUAGUUGGUAAGGUAAUGGCUUACCAAGGCAACGAUGCGUAGCCGACCUGAGAGGGUGAUCGGCCACACUGGGACUGAGACACGGCCCAGACUCCUACGGGAGGCAGCAGUAGGGAAUCUUCCGCAAUGGACGAAAGUCUGACGGAGCAACGCCGCGUGAGUGAUGAAGGUUUUCGGAUCGUAAAGCUCUGUUGUUAGGGAAGAACAAGUGCCGUUUGAAUAAGGCGGCACCUUGACGGUACCUAACCAGAAAGCCACGGCUAACUACGUGCCAGCCGCCGCAGUAAGAC